AUACAUGAAUAUUGAGAAUUUGAGUAUUAAUAUUACAGGCAUGAAGGGCGCACGUGGUACACGAGCCACCGCGGCCGUUUGUGGAUUGCGUCCACAGUGAAGCCGCCCGACCAGGACGUCGUCAGGGCGCUCGAGAACCAGUACAGGGUUUUGUAUCCAGACAAGCAGUUCAAGUUUCCCUCAUUCUACCCCACGGGAUGUCUGCUGGGUUGCGUCAACGUGGACGAUUGUCUAUCGCAGGAGGAAUACGAAAAGCGGUAUCCAGAUGGUGAGAGCGACAGCCCCUACGUGUUCAUCUGUUCAAACCCGGUCAGUUUGAGACUGCGGUUUCCUAUCAAAGGACAGCAUAAAAUUUAUCAACUGGACAAGACAAUUCAUCAGGCGGCCAUGAAGUGCAUUCAGAAAACCGCCAAGAUACAA